rnacentral:lncRNA from 1 species
CCAAAAAAAAAACUAAACAAAAUGGUCUUAUGGUCUCGUUCUGUGGUCUCGUUGCCGAGAAGUUCUCUUGAUAAUUUCCUGUGCUACUUUGUUAGAAUUUGUAGCUUACAAGUUCACCGUGCGAGAGCGUCGACAUUCUACUGUAAAAACUUCCAGAGCCAUUGUGUGUUUUGGAUAGAGCCGAUAUGAUAAAAAGUUUGUGGAUAAUGUUCGUUGAUAAAUUGCAAUGUGUGAAUGCUGAUCGACUUUGUCAUACUAACUCAUACUCAUACUAAGAGAUGUAAGCAACAAUAACAAGUUUCCUGAAGAAUGUUCCAAUCGGACAGUUGGAAACAAUUAUGUCUGUAUAAGUUGUGGAAUAUCUUUGGGAAAGCAGUCACGAAGAUAAAAUCACAGGCCAGGGGCUUAUGGAAAGAAGUGAAGAGUGGUAUUAUAUAGAAAAACAAUCUCCGAGAUAGAUGCCUGAUGGAUGCCCAUGUAUGCAUUGUUUGCAGGAUGAGCUCACCUCAAAAGCAUUAAUAUCUAGUGAACAUAAAAGCUGUGUGUGUUGUUGCAAUGUAUAUAGUUCUAUUUAUUAACCCCCGACGCAAAAUUGUGUAUAUGUGUCUAUCUGUAGCAUCGUAGCUCCCAAACGGAUGAUCCGAUUUUAAUAUGUUUUUUUUUUUGUUUGUAAGUUAUAUUAGUCGAGAGUGUUCUUAGCUAUGUUUGGUAGAAAUCGGUUCAGGUCUUCAAGGUCAUCAGAGAUGUUUGUUAAGUGUGAUAGGAAUGUUACACGCUCAGUUUGCUUGCAAGCAUAGGUAUGUGGGAUAAGUUAUUUUUUGCUUUUUAUAGGGUUUUUUUCACCUUUUUUCAUAAUAAUUGAGUACUUUUGUUUUGUCGGGGUUUUUUUUUUGUUCAUAGAUGUUGGUAAACUAUGAGUUUAUAUCACUUUAUAAUUAUUAUAAUUUAUAUUAUUAAAUCAUUAAAUAGAUAAAAACCUGUGUAUAUUUUAAUGUUAUUGUUAAGUUUAUUCUCUACCUACUUACUAAUAUGUUACCAUAUUAAGUCUGUUCAAAAAUCAUAAAUAGGUACUUGUUCUUCUUCUAUCAUGUAGGUUGUGAAGUGGAUGACCAACCUCAACCAGGGUUAUUGCUGAGCCGCCAAUGUCGUUGGAUCAGCCAGCAAUGUCCUAACUGAAUCAGGGAUCACAAAGAAAUUUUUGUGUUUUGUCCCCACCGGGACUUGAACCUGGGACCUCCGGAAUGUUAGCCACUGGACCACAUAGGCCGAGAGUAUAUGGUUAAGUUGCUGUUUUAUUUCAACUAUUUAAUUAAAUGUAGGAAUAUUUUGUAUGAGUAUGAAUUAUAUAAUAAAACAAAUUAUUUCUAAAAA